UUAUUUAUUUAUUUAUUUUCAAAAGGAAAACAUAGAAGAGAGAUUUUGAUGCAGAUUUGAAGUGAGGCACUGCUGAUCACCCAAAAUAUGCAAAAGAGAAAAUAGGUGCUCAACCAAGAAUCUGGGCAGGCUGAUUAACCCUAAAAUUCACCUAUUAGUUUAAAAUCCUUCAGAUGUUAACCAUCUGUAGUACAUAAAUUCUUGGUUUUGAUUCUCUGGCUGUCUGUUACAUGGUGAAAUGUGCAUGUUGUUUCAUGGGCUUCUUAAGUAUAGGACUACAUGAAACAUGUAGUGAGUGAAUAGUUAUGUCAACAUAUCUAAUUUAUAUAAAAUAAGUAUUGAAUGCUGACACUAGCAGGAUGUAACAUCAGAAAUAUAGUAUGGUUCCUGGUAGAUAUGGUUACAAUCAUAUAAAGAGAUUGAGAUUGGGUACUUACAUCAACAUGUAUGAUUUAGAUGCUCAAAUUUUGCAGGUAGGGUCAUCCCUGAGAGUG
rnacentral:misc_RNA from 1 species